AUUGAACGCUGGCGGCGGGCUUAACACAUGCAAGUCGAGCGGAGAUGAGGUGCUUGCACCUUAUCUUAGCGGCGGACGGGUGAGUAAUGCUUAGGAAUCUGCCUAUUAGUGGGGGACAACAUUCCGAAAGGAAUGCUAAUACCGCAUACGCCCUACGGGGGAAAGCAGGGGAUCUUCGGACCUUGCGCUAAUAGAUGAGCCUAAGUCGGAUUAGCUAGUUGGUGGGGUAAAGGCCUACCAAGGCGACGAUCUGUAGCGGGUCUGAGAGGAUGAUCCGCCACACUGGGACUGAGACACGGCCCAGACUCCUACGGGAGGCAGCAGUGGGGAAUAUUGGACAAUGGGCGGAAGCCUGAUCCAGCCAUGCCGCGUGUGUGAAGAAGGCCUUUUGAUUGUAAAGCACUUUAAGCGAGGAGGAGGCUACCUGGAUUAAUACUCUAGGAUAGUGGACGUUACUCGCAGAAUAAGCACCGGCUAACUCUGUGCCAGCAGCCGCGGUAAGAC
rnacentral:rRNA from 1 species